AUUGAACGCUGGCGGCAGGCCUAACACAUGCAAGUCGAACGGCAGCACAGAAGAGCUUGCUCUUUGGGUGGCGAGUGGCGGACGGGUGAGUAAUGUCUGGGAAACUGCCCGAUGGAGGGGGAUAACUACUGGAAACGGUAGCUAAUACCGCAUAACGUCGCAAGACCAAAGUGGGGGACCUUCGGGCCUCACACCAUCGGAUGUGCCCAGAUGGGAUUAGCUAGUAGGUGGGGUAAUGGCUCACCUAGGCGACGAUCCCUAGCUGGUCUGAGAGGAUGACCAGCCACACUGGAAGUGAGACACGGUCCAGACUCCUACGGGAGGCAGCAGUGGGGAAUAUUGCACAAUGGGCGCAAGCCUGAUGCAGCCAUGCCGCGUGUAUGAAGAAGGCCUUCGGGUUGUAAAGUACUUUCAGCGGGGAGGAAGGCGGUGAGGUUAAUAACCUUGCCGAUUGACGUUACCCGCAGAAGAAGCACCGGCUAACUCCGUGCCAGCAGCCGCCGUAA
rnacentral:rRNA from 1 species